UUUGCAGGUGGGAGUGCAGGGUGAGCCCGGUGCAGGGGAUAGGAGGUGGGGGAGUCGAGAGCUGGAGUCAGGCGCCGCUCACGCUGGGAUGACGGGGUGUUAACCUCAGACUCUGGGUCCCUUUGGGCCGAAGCUUUAAGAAAACAGGGGCAGCGAGUCCGGCGUCCCAAGGAGCCUUGCCAAGCUGGGCAUGGAGAACGGGCCUCCUGGAUGGCCACCCGCCCAGCUACCAAAGAGGCCGGAGAGCUGGAGCCGGGACUUGGAGGAUCUUCUUCAGAGAGGCAGGAGGGCGGUCCGAACGUGCCCCCACCCCUGACCUCAAGCCCGUGUGGAGAGGGCCAACAGAGCCUCUUGGAGAGCUGGAUUUGCGUCCUCUGCAGCUUGGGGGACACGUCGUUGAUGGUGACUGACACGCCCCAGAGAUAGUGACGUGGUGAUUAAGAGUGACAGCCUGAGGGAGCUGAGCCCAGUAUGGCUGGUCUGGCAGCUGCUGUCAGUGUCGCGACCCCACCCCACUUCCCUGGCUCCCUGCCUCCUUCGCUGGAGAAGCAUCCUCAGCCAAAGGAGCCACAAUACCUGACAGCUGAAGGCAGGGAACACCAGGAGGGGCCCCAGGAAGCUGGCCCCAAGGACGGGAUGCUGCGGGAGGAUGCCCCGCUGUCACCUGGUGACUGGAGCCCGUUGCGGGAGGCCCUUGGCACGAGGUGGCAGAGCAGCUGCUCAGGCCUCCGCCUGUGGUCACCUGGGACAGGACUCAGGUGGAUGGGGAUGCCCGGCUCUUUUAAUAUCACUGAUGUUGACAGACAGAUGGGAAAAUAGCCGUGAGAAGGACGUGGAGUGGGGAGGCUGUCACUGAACACUACUGACACUUAGAAGAGGGAAAAUGACAAGUUCAGGGCCACGGAUCACCAAUUUGAAGCAAAGUCAGGAUUCCUUGGCAGAAUUUAAUGAAAUGCUUCUCUUCUAUAGCCAGGGGUCAGAGGGCAGAAGACAAGGUGCAGGACUUCAGAGAAGGCCAAAUUUCCAGCCCAGGGAAGUCCCUUCUCCAAAGUCAGGGCCCCAAGGGGGAGGGUGGGGUCCCUGAUAUCUGAGAUGGACUAUCUGGGGAGACACUCUUGAGACAUUGAACCCCCAGAUUCUCAUGUACCUCCUGGCCUACAGAAGUGACCCAUUCCCUCUGUUGGAAGACAGAGGUCCUCCCUUGCUUAAAGACCAUGCAGAAACUAAGGGAAGGGACCUUACAAGACAAGGAGUUCCUCUCUCCAGAGUCUGUCCCCACCUCCCAUCCUGACCACCAGGCUCAAAGCUGGAUCAUAUCUCAGCAUGACCUGACCAAGGAUGUGCUUUGCAUGCCAGGGACCAAGAGGAAUUAACAAGCAGAGGAGUGGCGGGAGCAAGCCAGCAGGGACCAGCCGGGUCUGGAGAAUAUUCCUAGAUGUGGACUCUGAAGGUUCUGGAUCAAGGGAGGCUGCAUAGAAGCUGGAGACUGGAGAGUUAAUUAGUACAGAAAGACUCCCUAACCCCUAAAAAGGCCCUGGGAAGAUUCUAAUAUGUUGCUUGGGAGGGUUCUUUUUUUUUGAAACAGAGUCUCUCUCUGUCGCCCAGGCUGGAGUGCAGUGGUGUGAUCUUGGCUCUGCAACCUCCACUUCCCAGGUUCAAGCGAUCCCUCUGUCUCAGCCUCCUGAGUACCUGGGACUACAGGCAUGCACCACCAUGCCCAGAUAAUGUAUUUUUUUUUUUUUUUUAGUGGAGAUGGGGUUUUGCCAUGUUGGCCAGGCCGGUCUCGAACUCCUGACCUCAAGUGAUCUGUCCGCCUCGGCCUCCCAAAGUGCUGGGAUUACAGGUGUGAGCCACAGUGCCCAGCACUUGAGGCAGUUCUUGAAAGCUUGGAAGAAGUGAUAAUGCAUAGGCGAUGAAGUGGAGAUGUCAGAACAGCCCUGGAGGAAGGUAUGCAAAGUCUCAGAGAAGUGGACAAGUCAGAAUGGCUCUUCUAUUGUAGGUUGUACAGGAAAACAGCAUGACAAGAGUGAUGCCAUCUUAAAACCGCCAUAUGAUGAUGAGUGUUUCACCGCCAUACACCAAGGUGCUCUGCAGUAAGCUCUUUAAACAAUGCCUGUACCAUACAUAACCCUUUGUAAAGAUGCUUAGCUAACCCCCUCCCCAAGUGGCUAUGAGUUUUGCAUGUCGGAGACAUGGCCACCUGCACAUGUUUUACCCUAAAAGCUUCCUACAUAAAAGUACUUUCUGCAGGGCGGAUGUGGGGAUCUACCAUUUUGUGGCAGCCCGGAACAUCGCUUCUGCUCCUAAGUCCCUAUUAAAUAUUUCUUUACAAGAAA
rnacentral:lncRNA from 1 species